rnacentral:tRNA from 1 species
AAAAUAAAGCGAUCUUUAAUUGCAGUCAGUUUCGACCUGACCCUAGACAAAAGUCUAUUUUU